AGAGAGAGACAUGCGCGCAUAUCAAUAAGCGGAGGAAAAGAAACUAACAAGGAUUCCCCUAGUAACGGCGAGUGAAGCGGGAAGAGCUCAAAUUUGAAAUCUUAAAGGGUUUCCCUUUACGAAUUGUAGUUUAAAGAAGUGUUUUCUGUUGAGGUUUUGGUAAAAGUUCUUUGGAAUAGGACAUCAUAGAGGGUGAGAAUCCCGUAUUUGACCUUUACUUUCAACUUUGUGAUACACAUUUCAAAGAGUCGGAUUGUUUGGGAAUGCAGUCCAAAAUGGGUGGUAAAUUUCAUCUAAAGCUAAAUAUUGGCGAGAGACCGAUAGCGAACAAGUACCGUGAGGGAAAGAUGAAAAGAACUUUGAAAAGAGAGUUAAACAGUACGUGAAAUUGUCAAAAGGGAAGCGUUUGACACCAGUGUUGUUUUUCUGAAAAUCAAUUAAAGAACUGUUUAUGCUAAGUUGUUUAGACUUUAUCAGCUAACUGUUUAGUUUUGAGCUUUUCUUUAAUGCACUUUUCAGUUAACAAGUCAACAUCAAUUUCUUUUGCUGUAAAAAAGCUUGAGGAAGGUGGCUUGAGAUUCGUCUUAAGUGUUUAUAGCCUCUUGCCUAUGCAGUCGGAGAGAUUGAGGUCUGCAGCGUAGAUCCUUCGGGGCUAAAUGCAUUUGUGCUAAGUUAUAGCAUUUUAUAGACAACUUGUUGACUAUGAUUUGUCUUGUAGCUUACUCGCUUAUGUUAUUUUACCUACGCUUAGGAUGUUGACGCAUGAGAUAUACGCC
rnacentral:rRNA from 1 species